rnacentral:rRNA from 1 species
AGAGUUUGAUCCUGGCUCAGGACGAACGCUGGCGGCGUGCCUAACACAUGCAAGUCGAACGGAAUUAAGUUUGACACCGAGCACUUAGUUUGGUGGAAAAACACUGAGUAUUCGGUGUUGAACUUAAUUUAGUGGCGGACGGGUGAGUAACGCGUGGGUAACCUGCCUUACAGAGGGGGAUAACGUCUGGAAACGGACGCUAAUACCGCAUAACAUAUUUGGGUCGCAUGGCUCGGAUAUCAAAGGAGCAAUCCGCUGAAAGAUGGACUCGCGUCCGAUUAGCUAGUUGGUGAGGUAAAGGCCCACCAAGGCGACGAUCGGUAGCCGGACUGAGAGGUUGAACGGCCACAUUGGGACUGAGACACGGCCCAGACUCCUACGGGAGGCAGCAGUGGGGGAUAUUGCACAAUGGAGGAAACUCUGAUGCAGCAACGCCGCGUGAGGGAAGAAGGUUUUCGGAUUGUAAACCUCUGUCCUUGGUGAAGAUAAUGACGGUAGCCAAGGAGGAAGCUCCGGCUAACUACGUGCCAGCAGCCGCGGUAAU